rnacentral:sRNA from 1 species
GCGGGGUGCAGUGGCGCACACCUGUAAUCCCAGCAACUCAGGAAGCUGAGGUAGGACGAUCACAGGUUCAAGGCCAGCCCCAGCAAUUUAGCAAGGCCUAAGCAACUUAGUGAGACCCUGUCUCAA